UGAGAAGUGGGUAGUAUGAAUUCUAAC
rnacentral:piRNA from 1 species